rnacentral:rRNA from 1 species
UACGUAGGGGGCAAGCGUUGUCCGGAAUCAUUGGGCGUAAAGCGCGUGUAGGCGGCUCGGUAAGUCCGCUCUGAAAGUCCAGGGCUCAACCCUGGGGUGCGGGUGGAUACUGCCGGGCUCGAGUCCGGAAGAGGCGAGUGGAAUUCCCGGUGUAGCGGUGAAAUGCGCAGAUAUCGGGAGGAACACCAAUGGCGAAGGCAGCUCGCUGGGACGUGACUGACGCUGAGACGCGAAAGCGUGGGGAGCAAACAGG